UCUUAAUUUUAUAAAAAAUAUUUUAGAUAAUGUGUUAUCAGAUGAUAUAACGAGAGUUAUGCAAAUGUUACCACACGAUAACUUGAAGGUUGGAGAGGACAUGAAGAGGGUGGGAGGGGGAGCCUUUAAACGAGAUUUUAUGCCAGUAGGGGAGGGCAUUCAAGCAGGACUAGGAGACAAGAUCUGGAUAGUUUCAAGAGAUAGAGAGACCUCAGAUAAAAUUUUUGAAACCCUGGAGAAAGUUGACGGAAAAAUAACAGG